GGCCGGGGUCGAGGCGGAGGUGGAGCCGGUGGUCGUGCGGAGGGUGCGGCGGAUCCAUGGCGUCUGCUCUGUUUCUCGAGCCUCCUCUCUGUCUGCGACGUCCGCGCUACUGCCGAGUAUAGGACGCGCUGCCGAUGAACCUGUGAUUUACGCUUGUACCUUGUUGGAUGGAGCUCAAGGGGCGCAAUGGAGUUGGAUGGAGCAAGGGGCACAUAAUGCGUGAGAUGUGAUUCUAACUCGUUGAAUUUAGAAGCUGUGGAUUCAACAAACCUAUUGAAAAUCUCUGUUGUAAUAUUUGCAUUUGAAAUAUCUAAAUUAUGCCGUUUUAUAAUAUAUAUUUUUAGUGUCACAGACUUAAAAAUGGACAUUUAAGGGACAAGGUGGGAUGGCCACUCAAAUAUAGAUUCGACGCAUAUAUAGUGAGUCUUCAUUAAUUCUCCACUGGUAGCUUGUAGGCCUAUCUGCUUGUGGUUAUUAUUUGGCAGCAUACAACACAAGAGAAAAUACGCCACUCGUAGUCUGGUACCAUUACCAAAUUUCUAGCUAAGAUCUUAAUAUUUGAAUGUAAUGCUAAGAGAAUUUAUGAUCACACUAACAUACGCAAUCAUUCUCUACAAGUACACAGCGCAACAUACGGCAAAAUGCAUGAAACUUCCUUGAGACUCAUCCAAGCCUCGAAGCAGCAUACACAAAUUAACUCUUGCAUCAUCAAGAAAAAAGCAAAACCAAAAAUAACAUAGAACCACAUCUCUGCCCCUAUUGAGUUCAACUAUCGCAGAUAACAGACA